GCCCGAGUGUCGAAACUGGUAGACGAUCACGACUCAAAAUCGUGCGGCCUCACGGCCAUGAGGGUUCGACUCCCUCCUCGGGCA
rnacentral:tRNA from 1 species